GCUAUAAUAGUCUAUUAAGGAUUUUAGUUUUGUAAACUAAGGGUAGAUAAAUAAUCUUUAUAGUU
rnacentral:tRNA from 1 species